AACAAUUCAUCUAAAAUUGACGUCGUUUUUCGUAUCAACACUUGAUACUUCAAAGCACUUUUUCUAGCCGAACGGGUGAAUUUUUUCUUGCGUUAACCGGUUAACCAUUUGCGUUAACCGGCUAACACUGUUUGAAAACUUUUAGAAAAUUCUUUUCUGCCUUGUGUUAACCGGUUAACCAUAUGCGUUAACCGGUUAACACUGUUUGAAAAUGUCUUGGAAAAC
rnacentral:lncRNA from 1 species